rnacentral:rRNA from 1 species
AGAGUUUGAUCCUGGCUCAGAUUGAACGCUGGCGGCAUGCCUAACACAUGCAAGUCGAACGGAAACGAUGCUAGCUUGCUAGCAGGCGUCGAGUGGCGGACGGGUGAGUAAUGCAUAGGAAUCUACCUAGUAGCGGGGGACAACCUGGUGAAAACCAGGCUAAUACCGCAUAAUCCCUACGGGGCAAAGCAGGGGACCUUCGGGCCUUGCACUAUUAGAUGAGCCUAUGUCGGAUUAGCUAGUUGGUGAGGUAAUGGCUCACCAAGGCAACGAUCCGUAGCUGGUUUGAGAGGAUGAUCAGCCACACUGGGACUGAGACACGGCCCAGACUCCUACGGGAGGCAGCAGUGGGGAAUAUUGCACAAUGGGCGAAAGCCUGAUGCAGCAAUGCCGCGUGUGUGAAGAAGGCCUUAGGGUUGUAAAGCACUUUCAGUAGGGAGGAAAAGUAAGUCGUUAAUAACGGCUUACCCUGACGUUACCUACAGAAGAAGCACCGCUAACU